CGGAGGAUCCAAGCGUUAUCCGGAAUCAUUGGGUUUAAAGGGUCCGUAGGCGGUUUGGUAAGUCAGUGGUGAAAGCCCAUCGCUCAACGGUGGAACGGCCAUUGAUACUGCCAGUCUUGAAUUAUUAGGAAGUAACUAGAAUAUGUAGUGUAGCGGUGAAAUGCUUAGAGAUUACAUGGAAUACCAAUUGCGAAGGCAGGUUACUACUAAUGGAUUGACGCUGAUGGACGAAAGCGUGGGUAGCGAACAGGAUUAGAUACCCUGGUAGUCCACGCCGUAAACGAUGGAUACUAGCUGUUGGGGGCAACUUCAGUGGCUAAGCGAAAGUGAUAAGUAUCCCACCUGGGGAGUACGUUCGCAAGAAUG
rnacentral:rRNA from 1 species